rnacentral:rRNA from 1 species
UACGUAGGGUGCGAGCGUUAAUCGGAAUUACUGGGCGUAAAGCGUGCGCUGGCGGUCUCGCAAGUCCGAUGUGAAAUCCCCGGGCUCAACCUGGGAACUGCGUUGGAAACUAGCGGGCUGGAGUGUGGCAGAGGGGGGUGGAAUUCCACGUGUAGCAGUGAAAUGCGUAGAGAUGUGGAGGAACACCGAUGGCGAAGGCAGCCCCCUGGGCUAACACUGACGCUCAUGCACGAAAGCGUGGGGAGCAAACAGG